GGGGCGGCACACCUUCGAAAGAGCAGCGAAGGUGUCCUAAGUUGAGCUCAGUGAGGACAGAAAUCUCACGUUGAGGAUAAGGCCAAAAGCUCAAUUUACUGUGCCUUUUUGUACUAGGAUCAGUUACGAAAGUAAGGCCUAACGAUCCCUAAAUAGCCUCAGGUGCGUGAGGAUUGGGGUGACAGACAAGUUACCUCCGGGACAACUGGCUUGUGGCUGCUAAGAGAUCAAAUCAACGCAGCUUUUUGAUUCUUCGAUGUCGGCUCUUCCUAUCCUAGUGAUGUACAAGUUGCUAAGGGUCGGAUUGUUCACCCGUAUUAGGGAUCGUGAGCUGGGUUUAGACCGUCGUGAGCCAGGUUUGUUUUAUCCUACUGGAUAUAGCAUCAUGAUAGUAGAUUGAUUUAGUACGAGAGGAACUGUUGAUUAUGGCCUCUGGUUAGCGAUUAUCGGAAACGGUAUGUCGCGCAGCUACGCCGUCUGGGAUAAUGGCUGAAAGCCUCUUAAGCCAGAAGCCCAUCUAGAAAGUGAUGCACGUGAUGUUGGACCGAUACGAAUAAUCAUACUCAAAAGGUCCGCUUCAUAGGUAACCCAAUGUAGAAGACAUUGUGUGAACGAAGGUACUGUAAGCAGUGGAGUGGCAUUACGUCCACGACCUGUUGAGGUUCAGCUUCGCUUCUAGGUUUCC
rnacentral:ncRNA from 1 species